GCUCUAAAGUCAGUACUGCUGAGGUUGGGAGACGCCACCUUAAAAUAGAAACGCGACUAAGUGGCAAUCUGAAAUAGUAACUUAUUUUUCUGCUCUCUGAUUUUUCCCUCUCCUGUCCACUGCAAUUAACUCCAGGCAACAAGAAACUAAGCUCACAGCAAUUAUAACCACCUGACUGCAAGACUAGAGAAAGAUCCCAGCCCUCCCCUCAUUCUGUUCAACCAGACAAAACCUCCUGAUCUUCUGUGAUGGGAUCUCUAAACUGGGGUCCAGAGGAGAGACGUGAGCCAAGCUACCACCGACUGAAACUUCACUGAACCAUUAGCCAAAAUCAAGAUGUAGAACUCUCCUCCUCCAACAUCAUGUUUGCCUGCAUGCCGCCAUAGCCCACAACAGUGAUGAUGGUCUGAACCUCUGAAACUACAAGAGCUGAGCAUAACUGUCUCCUGAGAAGCUUCAUCCAACAGCAGAUGGAAACAGAUGCAAAGACCCAUAGCCAAAGGGUGGAAGAGCUGCAUCACUCCUCAGACCUCUCAGGCCAGGCGUGUCAAACUCAGACAAAAGCUCUUCAGAGACCAGCGCGGACUUGAGCCCCGUCGGGCCACUUUUUAUUCUCACACCAAAUAGCAUGGGAAGAAGAAAGAAUUCAUAAGACACUUGCUGUGUGUCUCACUUUGCUCUAUGUUAACAUUACUCUAAGGCACCUACUGUGUGCCUCACUUUUCUCUAUGGUAAUAUUAUUCUAACACAUCUACUUUGUGCCUCACUUUGCUCUACAUUAAUAUUACUAAACAUGUUUGUUCCGUUUUCAUGAUUGCCCUCACGAGGAGCCAUUUGACAUUUUCCCCCAAUCACUCCCCUCCCUCAUCAAGUUUAAGAACAAGAAAUUAUGGGGCUGGGGAUUUAGCUCAGUGGUAGAGCGCUUACCUAGGAAGCGCAAGGCCCUGGGUUCGGUCCCCAGCUCCGAAAAAAAGAACCAAAAAAAAAAAAAAAAAAAGAACAAGAAAUUUACUAUUUAGCUGCACUUUGUCCAUAAAUCUAAAAUCUUUUUUUACCUCUUACUACCCAGUUUUCCCAUCCUUCAAGGCAAUGUAACCUUCGCUGAAAAUACUGUUAUCAGCCACAGUAUGUAUUUGACUUGAUUCAAGCAACAAUGUCGUGAUGUAAAUAUCAUUCUGAACCAGACUACCUGGGUUGAAUCCAAGCACGACCAUUCCCUCAGGUUUGAUCAUGGACAAUUAACACAACUGCACCUCAGUUUCCUCAUUUACAAAUGGAGAUGAUAAUAGUGACAGUGAUCCCACAAAGGUCACUGUGACAACUUAGUCAGGAUGAUGGGUUUAGAAUGGUUCUUCGUAUAUAGGAGUCAUUACUGUUGCUGUAUUAUUAGCAAUACCCCCCAAAAAAGUUAAGCUGGGACUGGAGAGAUGGGUCAGCAGUUAAGGGCACUGACUGCUCUUGCAGAGGUCCUGAGUUCAAUUCCCAGCAACUACAUGGUGGCUCACAACCAUCUGUAAUGAGAUCCAAUGCUCUCCUCUUCUGGUGUGUCUGAAGACAGGGACAGUGUACUCACAUUCGUAAAUAAAUAAAUAAAUAAAUCUAAAAAAAUAAGCUAAAUAUUUGUAAGUGCAGCUUAACAAAGCAGGCUCAUGCCUUUGGAUAGAGAGAAGGUGAUUGGUCUAAGUCCACCCCUUUUGUAAAAGCAGAAACUGUAACUGAAGACCAGAGCUCCAAGACAUCAAAAUAAGAAUUUCCUGUUCAUGUCAUGUUUCCUUAUAUCUUGAUGAUCACAGAGGACACCUCUGUCCAGACCAGCUCUUGGCAUGGAAUGACAACCAUGGACAAAAUGUUCUCUUGUCUUUUUUCCAAAAAUUGUGUGUGCCACAAGCCAGUACCUUGGCCUAUCUCCCUAAACAAACAGUAGUGUUUUGCCCAGAGAAGAGAGCACUGAGUUCCUUCCUUUUGUCUUGGGUCUUGUCUGAUCUUACUCAAAGUCUAAAUGGUCUAGUCUAAGAAUGGAAACUUGAUACCAGACACCAGUGUGUCAGACUGUGAUAGGAAGCCUAUCGCUCUCCACUCCUGUCCUCCAUUCCAUUUGUCCUUAGACCCAAGCCCUCUUUACACUACCCACAGUUCAGUGAGAGGUAGCAGUCACUGCAGCCAUAAGCCCAGGACCACGUAAGUCCACAUCUCACCCACCCUUCCUUAUCUAACAACUUGAGUCAAGAUGAAUGAGCACACACCUUGCUGCACUGCUACAGAAAAGUAGCCCCAGUCCUGUGCUCAUCCGAAGACAAGGGCCAGCCAGACUGUAAAGAGAGACAAUAUUGCCCCUUGCCAGCCUCCACCAGAGGAGCAGGGAUGGGCAAGAAAAGAUCCAGUCAGUUCCUUGACUUCAUCCUAUGUUUCUUUAACCUGAAAAUGUUGAGUAAUAACUAAUGUCCUCAGAAUAUGACAGUGAUGGUGGGAUAUAUAUUUGAUGUGAGACAAAACAGUGCUUCUGGUCAACAAAGGUCUUAGACUGACAGCCAGUCAUGUCUUAUGUGAGCAUUUUAUAACAGUGGAAUAAUUCAUACAUUUUAAGACUUUGUACAUUUAUUCUAUUGUGAAUAUAUUGCCUUUGCUUUAAAUUGAUUUUAAAACAAUUUUAAUGGAUGUUUAUGUCUCCUCAUAAGGGCAAGCUGUCAUUAUUUAGCAAUUUCUCUCUCGUUGAAGAGUUAAAACGUUUCCCAUUUUCACAUUACAUAAACUGCUACCAGUCACCAGGCCAUCUUAUAAAUCAUUUUUGUGUGACUUUCUAAUUGUUUUAAUAAAAUAAAUUUCUAGAAGCAGAAACACAGAACCACAUUGGGAAAAUGUUUUAAAGUACUCAAACAUAUCAUCAAACCUCGGUGGAAAGAUACUAUCAAUAUUUUCUCCCACCAUCAAUGUCUAAAAAGGAACUCUUCAACUAUGUGCCUCAGUUUCUUUAUGUGAAAAAUGAAAAAAUAGUGUGUUUCUAAGAAGGACUUUGUGAAAUUAACUUUAAAUUAGAGGGUUUUUAAUGUGUCCAUGCUCUUGGCACCUACAACCUUAAUGAUCAAUUUUCAAAAUGUUUGCUAAUUUGUUACCUUUUUUAAAAUAUUGAUUUGUGAGUUGGUCAUGGUGCUGUACAUCUUUAAUCCCAGCACUCAGGAUACAGAGGCAGGUAGAUCUUUAUGAGUUCAAGACAAGCCUGUUCUACGUAGCGAACUCCAGGAUACCCAGGGCUACAUAGAGAGACCUAUCUCAAAAACCCAAAAGACAAAAAAAAAUUUUAUAUAAAAUUAAUACAUUGCUGCUUUAAUCUUAUAUAUAUACUUUAAUUUGUAUAUCUGUUUAUUGUUGGUUGAAUAUUUCCAUGAGUAUUUCUUCUUUUCUGACAUCUCUAUUGAUGUGUCUUGUUUGUAAAUGGAGAACUCCUAAAAAAAAAAAAAAAAACUUUUUGAUUCAUUAAAGAUUUUUAAAACAGCUGCAAACUUUUUAAUGUAAUAUUUUAAUUGAUUAUUUGGGACUUUCACAUAAUGUACCCAAUCCUUCCAGGACUUCCCCCCCCAAAAAUAUGAUCAAACAAUAAAAGUGUCCAAUUUGUGCUGUCUGUAUAGUCAGUGGAGCAUGGUCAAACUCCCCAGUGACCACCCCCUUAAAGAAACGUGAGUCCUUCCCCACCCCCUCCAGAAGCAUCUAUUAUGAAGAGCUAUUCUUCAUCUUCAUCACAAUUUUUAAGAGGCCUCUUGAAUGACUUUCUGUCUAGAUUGUUACCUUGGGGGGAUGGGGUAGGGUUAACAGAAGCCAGCCCCAGUGUAUGUCUCUCUCUGCUCACUGCCUGUGGAUCAGGUUGUCAAGUUCUCAGCUAUUACUCCAGCGCCAUGCCGGUCUGCUUCCUGCUAUGACUGUAAACUAACCCUGUAAAACGAUAAGCAAGCUCUCAAUUAAAUGCUUUAUUUUAUGAGAGUUGCCUUGGUCAGUGUGUCUCUUCACAGCAACAGAGCCGUAACUAAGACACUGGAGGAGUGCUUGAAACAGGCAGACUCUAGGGCCCAGGAGUUACAAGCCUAAAUUAGGAUGUCUGGGAAAGACCUCAGAGCUGGCCUUCUGAAAGGCUGCCCCGGGGACUCUCAGAAGGUAUUAGGUGAUGGAAGAACCAUGCUUUGAAACACUAGAGUCUGUUUGAGGGUCCUGGGCUCAGAACCUCACUGUUUUCGGUUUGAGCCCUUUUAGAUCCUGCAGGCUGAGUCAGGUGUGGCUAAUGCUGUGAGAUUUUGCACAAGUCAAACUGAUGCUAGUGUCUGCCUUGCAGGAACAUAAGUGAUAAUUAUUGACUAGUGUAAAGUUGGGAUAUACUAGAAUUUGUGAGCUUCAAAGAUAUAUUUAAAACGUCGACAGCUGGAACCAUGCCCAUGAUCUGAGCUACCCAGGGAGGCCAUGUUGAUGUGCGUGGUCUACACUGCAGGGAAAUCUGAGGCGGGCUGAAUGCCAAGCAAGUAACACAGGUCACAUAUUAACUGAAACUGCUUCCAAUUCCUACAACCUUCAGAAAUCUUUAAGAGUUUGGCAGAACUGAACCCUCUUACUUCAGACCGACACACACACACACCAUGUGUCCUGGUGUAGUAUUAAUAUAAUAAAUCUCUUAUCUAAUACAUCAACUUAAGGCCUUUCUCUCAAACACCCCUUCAUCAUCUCCCUCCCAUCAAAACCCAACAUUGCGGAUCCUCAAUUUCAUCUGUAUGAUACCUGCCUGAAAGAAUCAUUCCAAGAAUAAACAGGAUUAUAUGUGUAUGUGCAUGUGUGCAUGCAUGUGUGAAUGUGUGUGUAUGUAUGUGUGUAUAUAUAAUAUGUAUAUAUGUAUAUAUAUUUUAACAGUUUCUAGCAAUGGAAAAAAUGACAGUUGUUACAUCAAUGAGAAUUUAUACAAUUGGGAUGGAGGAAACAAAUAUCUGUGGUAAUAACUUAUAAUUACACAAAGACAGUUCACAAAUUAAUUUCAGUAGAAGCAUCCUAUUUGACUUUCUUAUUGCUGAUGACAUUAUCCUGGAAAGAAAGACCAAUGCCAUUUUUCUAGGUUCUUGUCGCUACCAGAAAUGAGACAAAGUAAGGAAU